rnacentral:rRNA from 1 species
AGAGUUUGAUCAUGGCUCAGAGCGAACGCUGGCGGCAGGCCUAACACAUGCAAGUCGAACGGAUCCUUCGGGAUUAGUGGCGGACGGGUGAGUAACACGUGGGAACGUGCCCUUUGGUUCGGAACAACUCAGGGAAACUUGAGCUAAUACCGGAUGUGCCCUUCGGGGGAAAGAUUUAUCGCCAUUGGAGCGGCCCGCGUCUGAUUAGCUAGUUGGUGAGGUAAAGGCUCACCAAGGCGACGAUCAGUAGCUGGUCUGAGAGGAUGAUCAGCCACACUGGGACUGAGACACGGCCCAGACUCCUACGGGAGGCAGCAGUGGGGAAUCUUGCGCAAUGGGGGAAACCCUGACGCAGCCAUGCCGCGUGAAUGAUGAAGGUCUUAGGAUUGUAAAAUUCUUUCAGCAGGGACGAUAAUGACGGUACCUGCAGAAGAAGCCCCGGCUAACUUCGUGCCAGCAGCCGCGGUAAUACGAAGGGGGCUAGCGUUGCUCGGAAUUACUGGGCGUAAAAGGGCGCGUAGGCGGGUCGCUAAGUUGGGGGUGAAAGCCCAGGGCUCAACCCUGGAAUUGCCUUCAAUACUGGCGGCCUUGAGUAUGAGAGAGGUGUGUGGAACUCCGAGUGUAGAGGUGAAACUCGUAGAUAUUCGGAAGAACACCAGUGGCGAAGGCGACACACUGGCUCAUUACUGACGCUGAGGCGCGAAAGCGUGGGGAGCAAACAGGAUUAGAUACCCUAGUAGUCC